rnacentral:rRNA from 1 species
UACGAAGGGGGCUAGCGUUGCUCGGAAUUACUGGGCGUAAAGCGCGCGUAGGCGGCUGUCUAAGUCGGGUGUGAAAGCCCCGGGCUCAACCUGGGAACUGCAUUCGAUACUGGACGGCUAGAGUAUGAGAGAGGGAGGUAGAAUUCCACGUGUAGCGGUGAAAUGCGUAGAUAUGUGGAGGAAUACCGGUGGCGAAGGCGGCCUCCUGGUUCAAUACUGACGCUGAGGUGCGAAAGCGUGGGGAGCAAACAGG